AAUAUAGAACUUCUUUUGGAAGUUUUGAAGAAUCUUGGACUCCAAGGGGCUCCUCUUUUGAAAGCUGUUCCCUUCUCUGACCACAGGGGCUGGGAGGGGCGUGCUAGGCCUGCACGGAGCCUGGGCGGGGUGUAGGAGGACCUGGAGGAGUGCUGGAGCCAGGCAAGCUGGGCUGCUACCAGGAACCCGAACCCCUCCAGACACCCCGGGAGAGGUGACCCACCUGCCCCUGUGCGCAAGUCACUGAAAGUUUUGGAGCCUGGUUUUCUUACCUGAGAAAUGGGGCUGAUGAUCGUCCUGACUGAUCGAUUGGACCACCCGGUACACCACUGGCCUCUCCGA
rnacentral:lncRNA from 10 species